rnacentral:lncRNA from 1 species
GUAAAGUUCUUUUUAUGUUUUCAAAUGCCAUGAUAAUCAUUCUCGGUCCUUAUUUCACAUUGAUUUCAACCUCUACUCUCCAUUACUGCUAAUCUGUAAGUGCCAUGAAAAAAAGGAUCUGUUUUAUUUACUUUUCUGUCACUAAUGCAGGUCACAGUUGCCAGCACAGAAUGGUGUUUAAUAAAUGUUUGUUUCAUAAAUGAACGUGGAAUUUCUCCGAGGCAGCCAUGUUUUCUAUAAAGCGAAUGAAAACUAGAGAAAGCUGGUCUAUAGAAAAAGAAAAGAAUGAAGCAGAUAUGCAGAGGGGGAAAGAAAGAAGCACAGGAAAGAUGGAGAGAGAGUCCGGGCAUCUUUCCAGAUCGUGGUGUAUUAACUAGGAUACAGACUAUCAAGGCUCAAGGUGAAAGAUGCCAAUGAGAGAGAACCCUGUUGUUCGGGUUUUUUUUGAGGAAGAUUAGCCCCGAGGUAACAGCUGCCGCCAAUCCUCCUCUUUUUGCUGAGGAAGACUGGCCCUGAGCUAACAUCUGUGCCCAUCUUCCUCUACUUUAUAUGUGGGAUGCCUGCCACAGCAUGGCUUGACAAGUGGAUUGUAAGUCUGUGCCCAGGAUUCCAACCGGCGAACCCUGGACCACCAAAGCGGAGACCAUGAACUUAACCACUACGCCACUGGGCCGGCCCCAAGAACUCAUUUUUUUAAAUGCCUGUGCUAUCACCUCUCAGGCAUGUCUCUUCGUCUUCUUCUUUCUUCUAUAAUUGAAAUAUUUAAUAAACAACGUAUUCAACACCAUAUUGUAUACUUGAAAGUUGCUAUGAGAGUAAAGCCUUAAUGUUCUCACCACCACAACACCACGAUGGUAAUUAUGUGAGGUGGAGAACAUGUUAGCCAGCCCUGGGCUCUAGCGGUUAAGACUUGGGCCUGGGUUCAUUUCCCGCUGAGGGAACCACACCACCCGUCAGUUGGGUGUCAGACUGUGGUGGCUGCAUGUUGCUGUGAUGCUGAAAGCUCUGCCACUGGUAUUUCA